GACGAACGCUGGCGGCGUGCUUAACACAUGCAAGUCGAGCGGAAAGGCUCCUUCGGGGUACUCGAGCGGCGAACGGGUGAGUAACACGUGAGUAAUCUGCCCUUGGCUUCGGGAUAACUACCGGAAACGGUGGCUAAUACCGGAUAUGACCACUCCUUGCAUGAGGCGGUGGUGGAAAGUUUUUUCGGCCAGGGAGUGUGCUCGCGGCCUAUCAGCUUGUUGGUGGGGUAAUGGCCUACCAAGGCUUCGACGGGUAGCCGGCCUGAGAGGUGACCGGCCACACUGGGACUGAGACACGGCCCAGACUCCUACGGGAGGCAGCAGUGGGGAAUAUUGGAC
rnacentral:rRNA from 1 species